rnacentral:rRNA from 1 species
AGAGUUUGAUCCUGGCUCAGAUUGAACGCUGGCGGGAUGCUUUACACAUGCAAGUCGGACGGCAGCACGGGGCUUCGGCCUGGUGGCGAGUGGCGAACGGGUGAGUAAUGUAUCGGAACGUGCCCGGUAGCGGGGGAUAACUACGCGAAAGCGUGGCUAAUACCGCAUACGCCCUACGGGGGAAAGCGGGGGACCUUCGGGCCUCGCACUAUUGGAGCGGCCGAUAUCGGAUUAGCUAGUUGGUGGGGUAACGGCCUACCAAGGCGACGAUCCGUAGCUGGUUUGAGAGGACGACCAGUCACACUGGGACUGAGACACGGCCCAGACUCCUACGGGAGGCAGCAGUGGGGAAUUUUGGACAAUGGGGGCAACCCUGAUCCAGCCAUCCCGCGUGUGCGAUGAAGGCCUUCGGGUUGUAAAGCACUUUUGGCAGGAAAGAAACGGCACGGGCUAAUAUCCUGUGCAACUGACGGUACCUGCAGAAUAAGCACCGGCUAACUACGUGCCAGCAGCCGCGGUAAUACGUAGGGUGCAAGCGUUAAUCGGAAUUACUGGGCGUAAAGCGUGCGCAGGCGGUUCGGAAAGAAAGAUGUGAAAUCCCAGGGCUUAACCUUGGAACUGCAUUUUUAACUACCGAGCUAGAGUGUGUCAGAGGGAGGUGGAAUUCCGCGUGUAGCAGUGAAAUGCGUAGAUAUGCGGAGGAACACCGAUGGCGAAGGCAGCCUCCUGGGAUAACACUGACGCUCAUGCACGAAAGUGUGGGGAGCAAACAGGAUUAGAUACCCUGGUAGUCCA